GGCCAGACUCCUACGGGAGGCAGCAGUGGGGAAUAUUGCACAAUGGGGGAAACCCUGAUGCAGCGACGCCGCGUGAGCGAAGAAGUACCUCGGUAUGUAAAGCUCUAUCAGCAGGGAAGAAGAUGACGGUACCUGACCAAGAAGCUCCGGCUAAAUACGUGCCAGCAGCCGCGGUAAUACGUAUGGAGCAAGCGUUAUCCGGAUUUACUGGGUGUAAAGGGAGCGCAGGCGGCCUUGCAAGUCUGAUGUGAAAGCCCGGGGCUCAACCCUGGGACUGCUCUGGAAACUGCAAAGCUGGAGUGCGGGAGGGGCAGGCGGAAUUCCUGGUGUAGCGGUGAAAUGCGUAGAUAUCAGGAGGAACACCGGCGGCGAAGGCGGCCUGCUGGACCGUAACUGACGUUGAGGCUCGAAAGCGUGGGGAGCAAACAGGAUUAGAUACCCUCGUA
rnacentral:rRNA from 1 species